rnacentral:lncRNA from 1 species
ACCAAAUCAUUUUGCAAAUUUUCUUCUAUGUCGAUCAUCGGCAUCCGUAUUAUUCUCUCUACAUAGUAUUACUCUUGUGCUCACUGCAAGAAGUUACGAUUUUUAAUUUUAUAUCGACAUAAAAAAUUUUCUUAAUUAUUAAACAGUAUGGUAAGAUGAUACUUAAUAAAAUUUUCAAUUUCUUCAUAAUUAUUUAGAACGUAAAAGUGUGCUUUUGAUAGUUCGUUCACGUUCAUAAAUUCACAUCUCCUUGCACCAG